rnacentral:rRNA from 1 species
UACGUAGGAGGCGAGCGUUGUCCGGAGUUACUGGGCGUAAAGGGUGUGUAGGCGGUUGGAUAAGUGUGGUGUGAAAUCUCCCGGCUCAACUGGGAGGGUGCGCUACAAACUGUCUGACUAGAGUGUGGGAUGGGUAAGUGGAAUUCCUGGUGUAGCGGUGAAAUGCGUAGAUAUCAGGAGGAACACCGGUGGCGAAGGCGGGUCUCUGGGCAGUAACUGACGCUGAGGAGCGAAAGCGUGGGGAGCGAACAGG